rnacentral:rRNA from 1 species
UACAGAGGUGGCAAGCGUUGUUCGGAAUUACUGGGCGUAAAGCGCGUGUAGGCGGCUCUUCAAGUCAGGGCGUGAAAGCCCCGGGCUCAACUCGGGAACUGCGCUUGAUACUGUCGAGCUAGAGUGUGGGAAGGGGCGAUUGGAAUUCCGUGUGUAGCGGUGAAAUGCGUAGAUAUACGGAGGAACACCAGAGGCGAAGGCGGAUCGCUGGGCCAACACUGACGCUGAGACGCGAAAGCUAGGGUAGCAAACGGG